rnacentral:lncRNA from 1 species
GUGAAGUUUGGGGUUUUGGGGGAGGUUCUAUUUGAUCCAUUACAACAGGAAUGCUCAUUUAACCACAGAUACUGUAUUUAAAUUAAUUUCAAAUAGUAUUUGAACCCAGGUCUGGUACAAACAGAGUGGCUGGGCUAGAUGGCAUUAUGGGUAAUUAAUAAACUGGUUGUUGGGUUGGGGCUGGGGCUGGGAUUCUCUAUAAGCUACCAUCUGCUUGCUGGAGCCAUAGCCACAGGCUAAGAUAUUGGGUUAUCCAGGGCAGGAGGUGCAGGUAAGGGGUGGAUAGGAAAGAGAGGGGUGGAUGGUGGUUUUGUAGAUAGGGAGAGUGGGUUGAGGAUGGUGUUAUGGGGGUAAUUAUAUGAUAUGGGGCAAGUCUGUUCCUAGUCAUCACAGCUGCCAUUACGACAGGAAGUUAGAAAUAUAAUUAUCUGAUACAACCGUCAUGACAUCCUGAACAAAAAAAAACAGAGUAUUUAUUAGUGAAUGUGGCUUAGUUCAGACCAGUGUCUAUUUUCUAAUCUUAGUACAGACAUUUUAAAGAUUAUCCAACGAUUAGAAUCUCAAGCAGUCACCGCCUGGUUCUACCCUAUUCCCUUCUUUUGCCACCAGAAUGAUUUUUAGUCCCUGUCUGCAGUGUCUUCUCACCCAGAAUGCUUUUUAGUCCCUGUCUGCAGUGUCUUCUCACCCAGAAUGCUUUUUAGUCCCUGUCUGCAGUGUCUUCUCACCCAGAAUGCUUUUUAAAUGCUUUUUAGUCCCUGUCUGCAGUGUCUUCUCACCCAGAAUGCUUUUUAGUCCCUGUCUGCAGUGUCUUCUCACCCAGAAUGCUUUUUAGUCCCCGUCUGCAGUGUCUUCUCACCCAGAAUGCUUUUUAGUCCCCGUCUGCAGUGUCUUCUCACCCACGCUGUGGAGGGUCCUCUCAUCUAGAACAACGGUCUUCAACAACAAAGCAGAAAAUUAUUGUUAUCACGUUUUCAAUAUAUAUUUUUUUAAACUCCUACUUCUAAUGUUUUACUGACAAGACUUGCUCACUGUUUAAAAAUACCCCACAGCGCACACACACACACACACAC